rnacentral:rRNA from 1 species
CACGUAGGGGACGAGCGUUGUCCGGAUUCAUUGGGCGUAAAGCGCGCGUAGGCGGCUCGGAAAGUCGGUCGUGAAAUGCCGGGGCUCAACCCCGGGACUGCGUCCGAUACUUCCGGGCUGGAGGUAGGUAGGGGAGAUCGGAAUUCCUGGUGUAGCGGUGAAAUGCGUAGAUAUCUGGAGGAAUACCGGUGGCGAAGGCGGCAUCCUGGGACCAUUACUGACGCUGAGGCGCGAAAGCUAGGGGGAGCAAACGGGG